UACGUAGGGGGCGAGCGUUGUCCGGAGUUACUGGGCGUAAAGCGCUUGUAGGCGGUCCACCAAGUUUGGGGUGACAGUUGCCGACUUAAUCGGCAAAGUGCCUCAAAGACUGGCGGACUUGAGGGCCACAGAGGGACAUGGAACUCCAGGUGUAGUGGUGAAAUGCGUAGAUAUCUGGAAGAACACCAAAGGCGAAGGCAGUGUCCUGGGUGGUCGCUGACGCUGAGGAGCGAAAGCGUGGGGAGCGAACAGG
rnacentral:rRNA from 1 species